CACGUAGGGUGCGAGCGUUGUCCGGAAUUAUUGGGCGUAAAGAGCUCGUAGGCGGUUUGGUAAGUUGGAUGUGAAAUCUCCAGGCUUAACCUGGAGACGCCACCCGAUACUGCUGUGACUGGAGUCCGGUAGGGGAGCGUGGAAUUCCUGGUGUAGCGGUGAAAUGCGCCAGAUAUCAGGAGGAACACCAGCGGCGAAGGCGGCGCUCUGGGCCGGUACUGACACUGAGGAGCGAAAGCGU
rnacentral:rRNA from 1 species